UUAGGGUUGGCGACUGGCGACUGGUGACGACGACUACUGAACAAAAAAAAGGAUUGCAAGCGGCGACCAACUCGCUACGACGACGGCUGAGCAGAAAAAAAAGGGUUGAAAGCGGAGACUGGCGACUGGUUAGUGAGGCUGUGGACUCGAAAAGAGAAGGAGGUAGCAGCUGUUACUCACAGUGGAUUCUUAUAUCAUACCCUAAGUGCAUUUGGAAAUGAUUGUCAUCCAUCUUUUAAAGGAUGAAAUAUGUAAACACUUUGCUAAUUGUGAGCUUUGCCCAAUGGUUAUUGUUGACAGAAGUAUGUUGUGUUCAGAUUCUGCGACAACAAACUUCCCUGGAAAGAUUCCCAGUGGUCUUGAUCUACCUAGUGAUGUAGCAUCCAGAUAAAGUAAUGCCCGACUAAUCACAGCCUGGGUUCCAUGAUCGAACAGGAACCCUGAUAUGGUAUAAAAUAAUUGCAGAAUUCACUGACAAAGUUGUACUUACUGCAGAUUUUUUUUACCAAAAAUAUUCAUGAGCUCGCUGUUCUUGGAGACAAUGAUAAGAUUCUUUAUUGGUGUAGGCAAAGAUUUGGAGGCCAUAGGAGACUUGUAGGCGCCAAUUCAUUUUAGAAUAAAACUAUGUGCACUAACCAAUGUGUACUAAUUCAAGUAUUAAUAUUGAAAAUUUGAAAUUCCCUCAAAAAAAAAAAAAAAAAAAAAAAAAAAAAAAUUCAAAUUUUCAAUGUUAAUACUUGGAUUAGUAUAAAUUGGUCAGUACACAUAGCAUUACUCUUCAUUUUAAGAUGAAGUGAUGAACGAAAUUGAUUCAUAUGUUAAACUCAAGAAUGUUUAACUUUCAAUGAUUAUUGGCUUUUGCAAAAUAUAAUUUACAUGAAACGUGGAGUCUCAAUUCAAUCUGUUAGGGAGAGGAUAACUCGAGCUUUUCUUGGUAGAAGAGCAAAAGAUUGUGAAGAAGGUUUUAAAGAUUCAGAAAGCAAAGGAAAAACAAGCUUCAAGGAGCUAGAAGUGGGAGGGUGAAAGCAAAACUCGUUGGAUUUUAACAAAUGAAUGAGAAACUGUCUUAGAAAGAUCAUCACUCUAGGAGGCUUGAAAUGCUUGUGCUUUCUUUGUAUUGAAUU